AAUAAGUGCAGUUUUGCACUAUUUACGUUCAACGUUUGACCGUUCGUCUUAUUUGAAAUUUUUUUAUGAUUAGUACGUUUAUUGCUAUUAGAUGUUAAAACAUAAAUAGUACUUUAUGUGUGACUAAAUAUUUUUAAAUUUUUCACAAAAUUUUCAAAUAAGACGGACGGUCAAACGUUGGGCACGGAUAUCCAUGGCUGCCCUUAUU
rfam:Oryza glaberrima chromosome 6 Oglab06_unplaced145_3, whole genome shotgun sequence.